GGGAGGAGGUGAGCAUCGGGGAGGUCAGGGGGGGUCACACAUCCUCCUAGCGGACCCCCGGCAACAACGGACUACAAACUCCCAGAGGACUACAAACCCCAGCAGGAGUAGGAGGGGGGGAGGAGGAGGAGGAGGAGGAGGAGAAGGAGGAGAAGGGGAGCAGGAGAAGAGCAACACCGCGACGGCAGGGUUACGCUACACACCGACCAAUCAGGGCCCGGUAACCAUGGGAGACCUAAAGGCCGAGCCAAUCGGUGAAGCUGUGAUGAACUCCUCGAUUCAGGCCGACCAAUCACACUCACCCCAACCGAUGGAGAGCACACCGAAGUCCUCCAGGCCUCUAGAGGCUCUCAGAGCACAACCCUACCCUGGUGAGACCCUACGACCCCACCCUGCCAGACCGGAGAGGAGAGACAGACUGGAGGACAGAUUUGGAGGCCAUUGGGUUCCUGGAUCUCCGACCACAGUGAAUUAUUACAACAUCGUACUGUGUGACUGUGCAGCAGCACAGUGUGUGACUGAGCAGCAGCAGAACCGUACCGUAUCUAAGAACCUUGCAACGGAUGUCUUCAACAGAAUUGGCAAAGAGAUUAAUAUGAUUUACAAUUUUGUAAAUAAGGAAUGGGGCAUAAUUGUAAAACGUAUUUGUAGAUAUAAACGUGAAGAUACGAGUAUUAGUAUAUUAGUAAAAUACACUUUUUCUGGAAAAUGUACAUUCGACAAACAAAUCCAAAAGUUCAAUAAAAUAAAUGAGGCCAAAACUAAGUUUCGCUUGGAAGACUUAGUUUAUAAUUAUUUUGGAAUCAAAAUAAUGUUCCAGCCAAUUGAAUUCCCUACUUUUGAUUUUGAACGGUCAACACAGGAUAUCUUUUUGGAGGUCAUUGCCCCGUUAGAAAUGAAGUGUAGGCUAGAACGGCAUGUUCUGCCAGCACAAAUUGACGUUGUCAAAUUCAAAGCUACUAUUCAUGAUUUCCUCGACUACCUGUAUCCUGGGCAAAAAUGUAUUCUGCUUACAGUUUUACCACAUGUAUUGGACACUAUGAA
ensembl:lncRNA